CUUAAAUGUUUUAUUAAAAUAGUGGUAUGCAGAUUGUGAUACAAGUACGUGAACAUGUAAAAAAGCAAAAAAUUCUCUCUGGCAAAUUCUUAAAUCAUUAGUGAUGAUAUAUGUGUGUGUGAUUGGUUUGCAAUUCAUCUCAAUACAAAGUGUGUUGAUAGAAAUUCAGUAUGUCUUUAGAAAUACAUUAAGAUUACAAUCAAAGUGCGGACAUCCAGCAGGCCAAAUGCCAAAUGCUCAAAUGGUGCUCAACUACAAGCAAUGGCAAACAGAUAAAGCAAAGUUGGCACAUCACCGCUCCAAAAGUAGAAACAUAUUUAUUUAUGUUCUCACCACAGGUGACGUUUCGAGCCUCUGAUGAAGAGCUUGUAGGCUCGAAACGUCACCUGUGCUGAGAACAUGAAUAUUUUUCUACUUUUGGAGCUGUGGUGUGCCAACUUUGCUUUUUCUGUUCAGAAAUACAUCAACCAGAAAAAUGACCACAGACUCUGCUGAAAUAAUAAUUUUAUUGCAUCUAUAAUUUGGUGUUUAAUUUAGUUCUUCCCUCUAAUAUCUGCAUUCUCUUUACAGGUAUGAUAUAAUAAUUUAUAACCACUAAAGACAUGGUUGAAACAUUUACAUUUUAUGCAACCCAAGCUUUUCGUAAGUAACGUUUUGAGAUGAAAUUUCUACUUCCAACUUCUAUGGACAGCAAAGUCAUUUUUCUUGUUUAAAAAUGUGAGCCAGCGGUUCAACGUCCAGACGACUCCUGGCAUGACUCAAAACCAUUCGUCUCACUAGUAAUACAGGAGAAUCCACAGAACGGGAUCAGACAUGACGGAUGAGCUGAACAGGGCGUCAGCUGAACCGGAGACGAUGAAACCGGAAGAGACUGUGCUGGUUGGAUCAGAUGUUGUUACUGUCACUGAGGAUAAUGCAGUGGAGAACAGUACGCCUGGAAAGGUGACGGUUGAGUCGCCACCUGAUUGGCUGAAGCCAAUGGAGGAGGAUGAAGAUGAUGGUGGUGAAGGUGUCAAGAGCAGCGAAUGGAUCACUAGAAAAACCAGUAAUGACGUUCCUAAAGUAAAACGACGCAGAGGUCGGCCUCCGAUUGCCAGAAAUGCUAGACAUGGACUUACUCGUUUAGAUUUCAAGAAAGGAUUGCAUGCAGAUCGCCCUAAAACUAAGACUGUUCGUACUAUACUGGAAAGAACACGUUCAAGUCUCACAUCAGCUACUGCCAUUCCCGUCCCAGAUCCAAUCCGCACGCCUGAGGUUUUACCCCGAACACCCCAGAGCAUCAUUCACAACCCGACGUCGACAUCCCAAAGACCCCGACUCAUCCCAAUCUCACCUACAGGGGACAGCAGCCUCUCCAAGAUACCCAACGCUGAGUUUCACAGCCCGUGUUCCUUUAAAAAGGUCUCUAAAAUUGAUGGCUCAUUCCGUGUCAACUUAACCAGAGGUCCCCGGCUAAAAUCUUUGAUUUUUCUAAUAUUUAUUCUGAAGAAAGAUAAACAUGUAUAGUGAUGAAAGCCAAAAUAUUAAAUGCCAUGGAUGAAUAUUUACUAAGUAAUCCACUAUUUUGUAGAGGGGGGUCAGAAUGGCAAUUUUCACCUGAGAUUCAGAGCCAAAUUGCAGGGGGGUAAAAAUGAAUUAAGAAAGAUGGCAGCAUCAUAAUGUUAUUUUUACACAGAGAUUGGUAGGUCUAUUAGUAAAAUCUGUUGAAUUUAGCAAUCUUUGUUGCAUUAUGUGCCAGUGGUGACCAUUCAAAAAUGGGGAAAGAGCACUUUUCAAGAUUUUUCUCCAAAGUUUGCAGUAGGGCUGGACCAG
ensembl:lncRNA